rnacentral:lncRNA from 1 species
ACUAGGAUUUGGAACUCCUGCUGACAUCAACCAGUUUUUAUUCAGAACCUGAUGAGUCAAAAGAAGCUGUUGAGUCAGAGGAACCUGUUGAGUCAGAAGAACCUGUAGAACCUGUUGAGUCAGAAGAACCUGUAGAACCUGUUGAGUCAGAAGAAACUGAUACUGAAACUUCCAGCGAUCCUGAUUGUACGAAGAAUGACCCUGAGUAUGUCCCAAGUUCGAGUGACUCUGAAG